UUAAGUUAUUAAGGGCGCACGGUGGAUGCCUUGGCACUAGAAGCCGAUGAAGGACGUUACUAACGACGAUAUGCUUUGGGGAGCUGUAAGUAAGCUUUGAUCCAGAGAUUUCCGAAUGGGGAAACCCAGCAUGAGUUAUGUCAUGUUAUCGAUAUGUGAAUACAUAGCAUAUCAGAAGGCACACCCGGAGAACUGAAACAUCUUAGUACCCGGAGGAAGAGAAAGAAAAUUCGAUUCCCUUAGUAGCGGCGAGCGAAACGGGAAGAGCCCAAACCAACAAGCUUGCUUGUUGGGGUUGUAGGACACUCUAUACGGAGUUACAAAGGACGACAUUAGACGAAUCAUCUGGAAAGAUGAAUCAAAGAAGGUAAUAAUCCUGUAGUCGAAAAUGUUGUCUCUCUUGAGUGGAUCCUGAGUACGACGGAGCACGUGAAAUUCCGUCGGAAUCUGGGAGGACCAUCUCCUAAGGCUAAAUACUCUCUAGUGACCGAUAGUGAACCAGUACCGUGAGGGAAAGGUGAAAAGCACCCCGGAAGGGGAGUGAAAUAGAACCUGAAACCGUGUGCUUACAAGUAGUCAGAGCCCGUUAAUGGGUGAUGGCGUGCCUUUUGUAGAAUGAACCGGCGAGUUACGAUUUGAUGCAAGGUUAAGCAGUAAAUGUGGAGCCGUAGCGAAAGCNNNNNNNNNNNNNNNNNNNNNNNAGUCUGAAUAGGGCGUUUAGUAUUUGGUCGUAGACCCGAAACCAGGUGAUCUACCCUUGGUCAGGUUGAAGUUCAGGUAACACUGAAUGGAGGACCGAACCGACUUACGUUGAAAAGUGAGCGGAUGAACUGAGGGUAGCGGAGAAAUUCCAAUCGAACCUGGAGAUAGCUGGUUCUCUCCGAAAUAGCUUUAGGGCUAGCCUCAAGUGAUGAUUAUUGGAGGUAGAGCACUGUUUGGACGAGGGGCCCCUCUCGGGUUACCGAAUUCAGACAAACUCCGAAUGCCAAUUAAUUUAACUUGGGAGUCAGAACAUGGGUGAUAAGGUCCGUGUUCGAAAGGGAAACAGCCCAGACCACCAGCUAAGGUCCCAAAAUAUAUGUUAAGUGGAAAAGGAUGUGGCGUUGCCCAGACAACUAGGAUGUUGGCUUAGAAGCAGCCAUCAUUUAAAGAGUGCGUAAUAGCUCACUAGUCGAGUGACACUGCGCCGAAAAUGUACCGGGGCUAAACAUAUUACCGAAGCUGUGGAUUGUCCUUUGGACAAUGGUAGGAGAGCGUUCUAAGGGCGUUGAAGCAUGAUCGUAAGGACAUGUGGAGCGCUUAGAAGUGAGAAUGCCGGUGUGAGUAGCGAAAGACGGGUGAGAAUCCCGUCCACCGAUUGACUAAGGUUUCCAGAGGAAGGCUCGUCCGCUCUGGGUUAGUCGGGUCCUAAGCUGAGGCCGACAGGCGUAGGCGAUGGAUAACAGGUUGAUAUUCCUGUACCACCUAUAAUCGUUUUAAUCGAUGGGGGGACGCAGUAGGAUAGGCGAAGCGUGCGAUUGGAUUGCACGUCUAAGCAGUAAGGCUGAGUAUUAGGCAAAUCCGGUACUCGUUAAGGCUGAGCUGUGAUGGGGAGAAGACAUUGAGUCUUCGAGUCGUUGAUUUCACACUGCCGAGAAAAGCCUCUAGAUAGAAAAUAGGUGCCCGUACCGCAAACCGACACAGGUAGUCAAGAUGAGAAUUCUAAGGUGAGCGAGCGAACUCUCGUUAAGGAACUCGGCAAAAUGACCCCGUAACUUCGGGAGAAGGGGUGCUCUUUAGGGUUAACGCCCAGAAGAGCCGCAGUGAAUAGGCCCAAGCGACUGUUUAUCAAAAACACAGGUCUCUGCUAAACCGUAAGGUGAUGUAUAGGGGCUGACGCCUGCCCGGUGCUGGAAGGUUAAGAGGAGUGGUUAGCUUCUGCGAAGCUACGAAUCGAAGCCCCAGUAAACGGCGGCCGUAACUAUAACGGUCCUAAGGUAGCGAAAUUCCUUGUCGGGUAAGUUCCGACCCGCACGAAAGGCGUAACGAUUUGGGCACUGUCUCAACGAGAGACUCGGUGAAAUCAUAGUACCUGUGAAGAUGCAGGUUACCCGCGACAGGACGGAAAGACCCCGUGGAGCUUUACUGUAGCCUGAUAUUGAAAUUCGGCACAGCUUGUACAGGAUAGGUAGGAGCCUUUGAAACGUGAGCGCUAGCUUACGUGGAGGCGCUGGUGGGAUACUACCCUAGCUGUGUUGGCUUUCUAACCCGCACCACUUAUCGUGGUGGGAGACAGUGUCAGGCGGGCAGUUUGACUGGGGCGGUCGCCUCCUAAAAGGUAACGGAGGCGCUCAAAGGUUCCCUCAGAAUGGUUGGAAAUCAUUCAUAGAGUGUAAAGGCAUAAGGGAGCUUGACUGCGAGACCUACAAGUCGAGCAGGGUCGAAAGACGGACUUAGUGAUCCGGUGGUUCCGCAUGGAAGGGCCAUCGCUCAACGGAUAAAAGCUACCCCGGGGAUAACAGGCUUAUCUCCCCCAAGAGUUCACAUCGACGGGGAGGUUUGGCACCUCGAUGUCGGCUCAUCGCAUCCUGGGGCUGUAGUCGGUCCCAAGGGUUGGGCUGUUCGCCCAUUAAAGCGGUACGCGAGCUGGGUUCAGAACGUCGUGAGACAGUUCGGUCCCUAUCCGUCGUGGGCGUAGGAAAUUUGAGAGGAGCUGUCCUUAGUACGAGAGGACCGGGAUGGACAUACCUCUGGUGUACCAGUUGUCGUGCCAACGGCAUAGCUGGGUAGCUAUGUGUGGACGGGAUAAGUGCUGAAAGCAUCUAAGCAUGAAGCCCCCCUCAAGAUGAGAUUUCCCAACUUCGGUUAUAAGAUCCCUCAAAGAUGAUGAGGUUAAUAGGUUCGAGGUGGAAGCAUGGUGACAUGUGGAGCUGACGAAUACUAAUCGAUCGAAGACUUAAUCAA
rnacentral:rRNA from 1 species